GCUGAUGUAGUUUAAUUAAAAAUUUAUAAUUUGUAAUUAUGAGAGUUUGUCAGCU
rnacentral:tRNA from 1 species